AUUGAACGCUGGCGGCAUGCUCUACACAUGCAAGUCGAACGGUAACAGGCCGCAAGGUGCUGACGAGUGGCGAACGGGUGAGUAAUGCAUCGGAACGUGCCCAGUCGUGGGGGAUAACUACUCGAAAGAGUAGCUAAUACCGCAUACGAUCUAUGGAUGAAAGCGGGGGACCGUAAGGCCUCGCGCGAUUGGAGCGGCUGAUGUCAGAUUAGGUAGUUGGUGGGGUAAAGGCUCACCAAGCCAACGAUCUGUAGCUGGUCUGAGAGGACGACCAGCCACACUGGGACUGAGACACGGCCCAGACUCCUACGGGAGGCAGCAGUGGGGAAUUUUGGACAAUGGGCGCAAGCCUGAUCCAGCAAUGCCGCGUGCAGGAAGAAGGCCUUCGGGUUGUAAACUGCUUUUGUACGGAACGAAACGGCUCUGGUUAAUACCCGGGGCUAAUGACGGUACCGUAAGAAUAAGCACCGGCUAACUACGUG
rnacentral:rRNA from 1 species